rnacentral:rRNA from 1 species
UACGUAGGGGGCAAGCGUUGUCCGGAAUCAUUGGGCGUAAAGAGCGUGUAGGCGGCUCGGUAAGUCCGCUGUGAAAGUCCAGGGCUCAACCCUGGAAUGCCGGUGGAAACUGUCAAGCUUGAGUCCGGAAGAGGCGAGUGGAAUUCCUGGUGUAGCGGUGAAAUGCGCAGAUAUCAGGAGGAACACCGGUGGCGAAGGCGGGUCUCUGGGCCGAUACUGACGCUGAGGCACGAAAGCGUGGGGAGCAAACAGG